GCGUGCGCAGGCGGUUAUAUAAGACAGAUGUGAAAUCCCCGGGCCUCAACCUGGGAACUGCAUUUGUGACUGUAUAGCUGGAGUGCGGCAGAGGGGGAGUGGAAUUCCGCGUGUAGCAGUGAAAUGCGUAGAUAUGCGGAGGAACACCGAUGGCGAAGGCAAUCCCCUCGGGCCUGCACUGACGCUCAUGCACGAAAGCGUGGGGAGCAAACAGGAUUAGAUACCCCAGU
rnacentral:rRNA from 1 species